AUACGUAGGGUGCGAGCGUUGUCCGGAAUUACUGGGCGUAAAGAGCUCGUAGGUGGUUUGUCGCGUCGUCUGUGAAAUUCCGGGGCUUAACUCCGGGCGUGCAGGCGAUACGGGCAUAACUUGAGUACUGUAGGGGAGACUAGAAUUCCUGGUGUAGCGGUGAAAUGCGCAGAUAUCAGGAGGAACACCGGUGGCGAGGGCGGGUCUCUGGGAAGGAACUGACGCUGAGGAGCGAAAGCAUGGGUAGCGAACAGGAUUAGAUACCCUGGUAGUCCAUGCCGUAAACGGUGGGCGCUAGGUGUAGGGGUCUUCCACGACUUCCGUGCCGUAGCUAACGCAUUAAGCGCCCCGCCUGGGGAGUACGGCCGCAAGGCUAAAACUCAAAUGAAUUGACGGGG
rnacentral:rRNA from 1 species